rnacentral:rRNA from 1 species
AAACUAACAAGGAUUCCCCUAGUAACUGCGAGUGAAGCGGGAAAAGCUCAAAUUUAAAAUCUGGCGGUCUUUGGCCGUCCGAGUUGUAGUCUGGAGAAGUGCUUUCCGCGCUGGACCGUGUAUAAGUCUCUUGGAACAGAGCGUCAUAGAGGGUGAGAAUCCCGUCUUUGACACGGACUACCAGUGCUUUGUGAUGCGCUCUCAAAGAGUCGAGUUGUUUGGGAAUGCAGCUCAAAAUGGGUGGUGAAUUCCAUCUAAAGCUAAAUAUUGGCGAGAGACCGAUAGCGAACAAGUACCGUGAGGGAAAGAUGAAAAGCACUUUGGAAAGAGAGUUAAACAGUACGUGAAAUUGCUGAAAGGGAAACGCUUGAAGUCAGUCGCGUUGUCCGGAACUCAGCCUUGCUUUCGCUUGGUGCACUUUCCGGAUGACGGGUCAGCAUCGAUUUUGACCGUCGGAAAAGGGCUGGAGUAAUGUGGCACCUCCGGGUGUGUUAUAGACUCUGGUCGCAUACGACGGUUGGGAUCGAGGAACGCAGCGCGCCGCAAGGCAGGGGUUCGCCCACUUUCGCGCUUAGGAUGCUGGCAUAAUGGCUUUAAACGACCCGUCUUGAAACACGGACCAAGGAGUCUAACAUACCUGCGAGUGUUUGGGUGGAAAACCCGAGCGCGUAAUGAAAGUGAAAGUUGAGAUCCCUGUCGUGGGGAGCAUCGACGCCCGGACCUGACGUUCUCUGACGGAUCCGCGGUAGAGCAUGUAUGUUGGGACCCGAAAGAUGGUGAACUAUGCCUGAAUAGGGUGAAGCCAGAGGAAACUCUGGUGGAGGCUCGUAGCGAUUCUGACGUGCAAAUCGAUCGUCAAAUUUGGGUAUAGGGGCGAAAGACUAAUCGAACC